AUUGAACGCUGGCGGCAGGCUUAACACAUGCAAGUCGAGCGGGGUGAUGGUGCUUGCACUAUCACUUAGCGGCGGACGGGUGAGUAAUGCUUAGGAAUCUGCCUAUUAGUGGGGGACAACAUCUCGAAAGGGAUGCUAAUACCGCAUACGUCCUACGGGAGAAAGCAGGGGAUCACUUGUGACCUUGCGCUAAUAGAUGAGCCUAAGUCGGAUUAGCUAGUUGGUGGGGUAAAGGCCUACCAAGGCGACGAUCUGUAGCGGGUCUGAGGGGAUGAUCCGCCACACGGGGACUGAGACACGGGCCAGACUCCUACGGGAGGCAGCAGUGGGGAAUAUUGGACAAUGGGGGGAACCCUGAUCUAGCCAUGCCGCGUGUGUGAAGAAGGCCUUAUGGUUGUAAAGCACUUUAAGCGAGGAGGAGGCUCUUUUGGUUAAUACCCAAGAUGAGUGGACGUUACUCGCAGAAUAAGCACCGGCUAACUCUGUGCCAGCCGCCGCAGUAA
rnacentral:rRNA from 1 species